GAAGAGGUAGCUCAGUGGUUAAGAGCACUGAUUGCUCUUCCAGAGGUCCUGAGUUCAAAUCCCAGCAACCCCA
rnacentral:tRNA from 1 species